AUUGAACGCUGGCGGCAUGCCUUACACAUGCAAGUCGAACGGUAACAGGGAGCUUGCUCCGCUGACGAGUGGCGAACGGGUGAGUAAUGUAUCGGAACGUACCUUUUAGUGGGGGAUAACGUAGCGAAAGUUACGCUAAUACCGCAUAUUCUCUGAGGAGGGAAUCAGGGGACCUUCUGGCCUUGCGCUAAUAGAGCGGCUCAUAUCAGAUUAGCUAGUUGGUGAGGUAAAGGCCCACCAAGGCGACGAUCUGUAGCGGGUCUGAGAGGCUGUUCCGCCACACGGGAACUGAGACACGGUCCAGACUCCUACGGGAGGCAGCAGUGGGGAAGUUUGGACAAGGGGGGCAACCCUGAUCCAGCCAUGCCGCGUGAGUGAAGAAGGCCGUAGGGUUGUAAAGCUCUUUCGGCCGGGAAAAAAUCGCAUGGGUUAAUACCCUGUGUGGAUGAUGGUACCGGAAUAAGAAGCACCGGCCAACUACGUGCCAGCCGCCGCGGUAA
rnacentral:rRNA from 1 species